rnacentral:lncRNA from 1 species
UAUCUAUUUAUUAUUGACUAAUUAAAAUAGAUUUAAUUUUUCUGCUCUGAGAUAAUAUAAGAUCAGAAGACUAAUAAGUUGAAUAAUGUGAACCCAAUUAGUUGAGUAGGGUUGAGAUCCACAAUAGACUUAACGGCAAGAGACUCAAUAUAUAAUAGAUCUAACUUUCAAGUGGAUUGAGUCAGAUUAAAACCCCAGAGCAUUGUGGCUGAGCCCUUAACUAUAAUGAAUGUUUCCUUUCUAUCAGCAUCUGCUUUUGGAAUAGUUAGUU